rnacentral:miRNA from 1 species
CUUCCGGCCGACGAGGUACCUGUACCUCGCCGGCUGGAAGGAUUUCCUUCCAGUCGACGAGGUACAUGUACCUCGUUGACCGGAAG